GAUGAACGCUGGCGGCGUGCCUAAUACAUGCAAGUCGAGCGAACGGAUGAGAAGCUUGCUUCUCUGAUGUUAGCGGCGGACGGGUGAGUAACACGUGGAUAACCUACCUAUAAGACUGGGAUAACUUCGGGAAACCGGAGCUAAUACCGGAUAAUAUUUUGAACCGCAUGGUUCAAAAGUGAAAGACGGUCUUGCUGUCACUUAUAGAUGGAUCCGCGCUGCAUUAGCUAGUUGGUAAGGUAACGGCUUACCAAGGCAACGAUGCAUAGCCGACCUGAGAGGGUGACCGGCCACACUGGAACUGAGACACGGUCCAGACUCCUACGGGAGGCAGCAGUAGGGAAUCUUCCGCAAUGGGCGAAAGCCUGACGGAGCAACGCCGCGUGAGUGAUGAAGGUCUUCGGAUCGUAAAACUCUGUUAUUAGGGAAGAACAUAUGUGUAAGUAACUGUGCACAUCUUGACGGUACCUAAUCAGAAAGCCACGGCUAACUACGUG
rnacentral:rRNA from 1 species